AUGCCUGAGAUUCACAAGAAACACGGAGAAUGGGCUGAUCUACAUACAUCCUUCCUGUGCACCAAAUGGAAACAUUUGUCCCAUCUCAUCAGAUCCAGGAUCAACACCCCAUCUCAUCAGAUCCAGGUAGUAAGGUCUGUCACUGACCAUGGCUGUUAUACUUUACAUAAGUUGCAUCAUUUGAAAAUAAAUCAUGUAAUUCUGGAAGUUUUUGCAGACAAGCCCAGCAAUCCUGGGAGCACUGUGCUAAUCUUCAAUAGAGUUCUACAGAGUAAUGCCGCCACCAGUUCUGUAGACAUUUGUCCUCUCUAUAUUGUCCCAGAAAAAAAACAUUAAAUACUAAAUAGUACUUACACAGAAAUGAUAUAUUUG
rnacentral:lncRNA from 1 species